CAGAGAGAUAACGGACAAACACUCAGCGAGAGCUCCGCGGCAAGUGGAAGGGUUCACUGUCCGGGUAAAGGUUUCUCUGUCCUAAAUAAAGUAAUGAGGUAGAAAGUCAAAAAGUUAACCAACCCAACCGGCUAUGGAACAGAUUGGCACGGCUACGGUGAAGAUGGACCAGAAGUUUGAGGAGAUAGAUUCAGAGGGCCGGUGGCAGAAACUCUACUCAGAAAUCAGGAACCAGUCCCACGAGUGUUCCUACAAAGUGGCAAAGUAUCCGGAGAAUCGCAACAGAAACAGAUAUCGGGAUGUCAGUCCAUUCGACCACAGUCGGGUGAAGCUGAAGAACACAGAGAAUGACUACAUCAAUGCAAGUCUGGUAGUGAAUGAGGAAGCCCAGAGGAGUUACAUCCUGACUCAGGGCCCCCUCAGGAACACCUGUGGUCACUUUUGGCUCAUGAUCUGGGAGCAAAAGACCAAAGCAGUCAUCAUGCUCAACAGAGUCAUAGAGAAAGGCUCGGAAAAGUGUGCCCAGUACUGGCCCACAGCAGAGGAAAGGGAGAUGGCCUUCAGAGACACACGCUUCUUGGUCACACUGCUGUCAGAAGACACCAAGUCUUACUACACCACCAGAAGGCUGGAGCUGCAGAACAUUCAAACAGGGGAGAAAAGGGAGCUCUACCACUUUCAUUACACAACGUGGCCCGAUUUUGGUGUCCCCGAGUCCCCGGCUUCCUUCCUAAACUUCCUCUUUAAGGUGCGGGAAUCUGGAGCACUGGGCACAGAUCAAGGACCAGCUGUGGUGCACUGUAGCGCUGGAAUCGGACGCUCAGGGACGUUUUCACUAGUUGACACAUGCCUGGUCCUGAUGGACAAGAGGAAAGACCCCUCAUCAGUAGACAUCAAAAGCAUCCUGCUGAACAUGAGGAAAUACCGAAUGGGCCUGAUUCAGACUCCUGAUCAGCUGCGAUUCUCAUACAUGGCUGUCCUUGAAGGGGCAAAGUUUAUCAUGGGAGACUCAUCUGUACAGAAUCAAUGGCGGGAAUUAUCCAAGGAAGAUCAGGAGCCGCUAUCAGAGUCUCCCCCUGCACCUCAGCCACAGGCCAGGUGUCCGACAGAGCGGCACAAUGGCAGCCAGCAGGAGGACGGAGGGGACUACAGACAGGACGGCAAAGCGCCUGCACAGUCUCCCUGCAAGGAGCAGGAGCUCGAUGGCAGCACAGCACAGUCAGUACACAAACGACGCAGGGAAGACAGCAUCUCCAAAUCGAGCACAGCCAAGACACCCCAAAGCAAGUCCAGGACAAAUGACUCUGAGAGGAAGAGAAAAAGUUUGGGCUGCAUUUGCUGCACAUGACAAGAGCUCGGCUGUCCGGCGGGGGGCGGUGUAUCUUUACCCCCCUCUGAGGCAGCAACGACAACCACGGAGAGCGCGUUUAACGGACGAAGUUUACCCGCAGCUUUAAAAAAAAACAAAAGAAAGAACACCCACUCUUGUACAUGGAGGGCGAAAACCAGCGACUACUAACCACCUCCACCUGCAGCCACAACUCUGGCAGCAAAGCCAACAUCGGCAGGGAACUCCAGCUCUCUCCCAAUCUUCCUCACCUCCAUGUCCUCGGCUAGCUCUCCUUUUCCUUUUCAUUGCUUGUGUGUCUUUUUUUUCCUUGCAUACCGGCCUAUCAUCAUUAGUUAGCCAGAACCGACAUUUCUGAUUCUUCUACCAUCAGGAACACAUCACGUCCACCUCCGGCUCAGCUUUCCGAUCUCUCAUCCUCAUUGUUUACAGUGGACACUUUGACAUUCGUUUAAAGACAAGCACACCAGCGCUUUACCCCUCUGGCCACACCUCAACCUUAAACUGUCAAUGCUGCUUCCGGAGUCAAAAGAUUUGUUUUUUCUUUCUCUCGCUCUCUUUUUGGCAUUAAUAAUAUUAUUUUGCAGCUUUCUCAUUCUUUUACACUCAUUUACAUUCAUGAAAUUCAGACUGAAAACAGGGGCUAUGCAUUGCCAAUUUGUAAUGCUGUUUAUAUGUGUAUUUUUGGAAAAGGGUAAAAAACAUUUUUCAGAGGCAAAAGUAAAAAAUGUUCUAUUUUUUAUAAUAAAUUACUUGAAGUUUUUCAGGUGAUGUGGGGCCGGCUGAAUGAAACACACUGUCUCGCUCACAUGUGAGAAAUUCAGUGACAUGUAAUGUUUCCAUGAUGUACAUAGUGUUCUUCUUUUCUUUUUUUUUCUUUUUUCUUUUUUUUUAAGAGAGAUGUGUACAAAAUGACAUAUUUUUGCUUGUAAAGGAAACCCUGAAUACCAAAAAAAAAAAAAAGGACGAAAGCUUAUGUUACACACCUGGAUACAAUAGAAAGCUGAUUUGAAGCUACUUGUUCUCCUUUUGAAACAAAUUGUCUUAAGUUUGUUUUUGUUUUUUAGAGUGUAAUCUGUAAUUAAAACUGGU